ACACCAGAGAGAGAAGGUGUAACCAUGGAUCUCCCUACUACACUAGAGAGAAGGUGUAACCAUGGAUCUCUCUACUACACUAGAGAGAAGGUGUAACCAUGUAUCUCCCUACUACACCAGAGAGAGAAGGUGUAACCAUGUAUCUCUCUACUACACCAGAGAGAGAAGGUGUAACCAUGUAUCUCCCUACUACACUAGAGAGAGAAGGUGUAACCAUGGAGCUCCCUACUACACUAGAGAGAAGGUGUAACCAU